rfam:Oryza sativa (indica cultivar-group) chromosome 9, whole genome shotgun sequence.
UUUAAGUGUAACCAUAAGUUUUCGCGUUCAAUUUUGAUCAUUCGUUUUAUUUAAAUUUUUUUAUAAUGAGUAUUUUUUUUAUUAUGAGAUGAUAAAACAUAAAUAGUAUUUUAUACGUAAUUUAUGUUUUCAAUUUUUUUAAGAAAAUUAAAUAAGACGGACGAUUAAAGUUAUGCACGGAAAAUCAUGGCUACCUUCGAA